AUCAGCUUAUCACCAUCAGAGAACCACCAACAGAAUAAUACACACGCACACAUUUUACUAUAUUUCUAUCUAUUACAAGUACAGAUCAGUUUUUGUAAAUAGAAAUGAAUGAAAAUGAACAGAAUUGAAACCCUAAGUGCUCUAUGUGUGUUUUGUGCGUGUGACUGGAAUUUGGGGGGGUGAGAGCAGCCGGCGGCUGCUCGCGGCCGGAGGCGGCGCGGCGGCAGUCGCCGCCUUUUUCCUUUGUCUGUCUGAAACGAGAGAAAGAUGGUUAGGGCUGCUGUAAAAAAAAAAAAAAGAGAGAGAAGAGAAGGUAGAACAGGGGAGGGAGAGAGAGAGAUAGGAGGGAGGACUUAUCUUCUCCGGUGACGACGACGCGGCGGCAUCGGCAGCGGCGACGCGGCGGCGGAAGCACCGAGCUGUUCCUGGUCGGCCGGAAAAGAGGAAAAGAGGGGGAGCUCAGAUCUGGAGCCUACCUUCCCGGCGAUGCAAGGCUCGGCCUCCACCGCGAUUCCAGCCAGACGAACGACGGAGGAGGCGACGGACGGCGGCCGAGCUCCUUCACG
rnacentral:lncRNA from 1 species